rnacentral:rRNA from 1 species
CCUACGGGAGGCAGCAGUGAGGAAUAUUGGUCAAUGGACGAGAGUCUGAACCAGCCAAGUAGCGUGAAGGAUGACUGCCCUAUGGGUUGUAAACUUCUUUUAUAUGGGACUAAAAUGUUCCACGUGUGGGAUUUUGUAUGUACCAUAUGAAUAAGGAUCGGCUAACUCCGUGCCAGCAGCCGCGGUAAUACGGAGGAUCCGAGCGUUCUCCGGAUUUAAUGGGGUUAAAGGUAGCGUAGGUGGAUUGUUAAGUCAGUUGUGAAAGUUUGCGGCUCAACCGUAAAAUUGCAGUUGAAACUGGUAGUCUUGAGUACAGUAGAGGUGAGCGGAAUUCGUGGUGUAGCGGUGAAAUGCUUAGAUAGCACGAAGAACUCCGAUUGCGAAGGCAGCUCACUGGACUGCAACUGACACUGAGGCUCGAAAGUGUGGGUAUCAAACAGGAGUAGAUACCCUUGUAGUC